AUGACAGAUUCUCAGCUCAACCCUCUGUCACUGAGGUCUCACUCUAGUAAGGCAUACUUAUUCCACCUAAGUCCUGUCCUCUCGCUCUCCUCCCCGGGCAGCACGAGUUUCACCACUCACUCCACCUUCUCCACCAACUACCUGUCCCUGGGCUCCAUCCGGGUACCCAGCUACAGCGCCCAGCUGGUCAGCAGCGCGGCCAGCGUCUAUGCAGGCGCCGGGGGCUCUGGUUCCUGCAUCUCUGUGUCGCACUGCACCAGGCUCCAGAGUGGCAUGGGGGUCGGGGGCAUGGCCGCGGGGAUGGCCAGGGGUCUGGCAGGAAUGGGAGGCAUCCAGAAUGAGAAGGAGACCAUGCAAAGCCUGAAUGACCACCUGGCCUCCUACCUGGAGAGAGUGAGGAGACUGGAGACUGAGAACUGGAAGCUGGAGAGCAAAAUCCAGGAGCACCGGGAGAAGAAGGGACCCCAGGUCAGAGACUGGGGCCAUUACUUCAAGACCAUCGAGGAUCUGAGAGCUCAGAUCUUCGCAAAUACUGUGGACAAUGCCCGUCUUGUUGCUGAUGACUUUAGAGUCAAAUAUGAGACAGAACUGGCCAUGCGCCAGUCUGUGGAGAGCGACAUCCACGGGCUCCACAAGGUCAUUGACGAUACCAAUAUCACUCUGCUGCAGCUGGAGACAGAGAUCGAGGCUCUCAUGAAGGAGCUGCUCUUCAUGAAGAAGAACCGUGAAGAGGAAGUAAAUGGCCUACAAGCCCAGAUUGCCAGCUCUGGGUUGACCGUGGAGGUAGAUGCCCCCAAAUCUCAGGACCUCGCCAAGAUCAUGGCAGAAAUCCGGGCUCAAUAUGACGAGCUGGCUCGGAAGAACCGAGAGGAGCUGGACAAGUACUGGACUCAGCAGAUUGAGGAAAGCACCGCAGUGGUCACCAUGCAGUCCACCGAGGUUGGAGCUGUUGAGAUGACACUCACAGAGCUGAGACGCACAGUCCGGUCCUUGGAGAUGUACCUGGACUCCAUGAGAAAUAUGAAGAUCAGCUUGGAGAACAGCCUGAGGGAGAUGGAGGCCCACUACGCCCUGCAGAUGGAGCAGUUCAACGGGAUCCUUCUGCACCUGGAGUCAGAGCUGGCACAGACCCGGGCAGAGGGACAGUGCCAGGCCCAGGAGUACUAGGCUCUGCUGAACAUCAAGGCCAAGCUGGAGGCUGAGAUCGCCACCUACUGCCACCUGCUGGAAGACAGCAAGGAGGACUUCGGUCUUAGUGAUGCCCUGGACAGCAGCAGCUCCAUGCAAACCAUCCAGAAGACCACCACCUGCCGGAUAGUGGAUGGCAAAGCGAUGUGUGAUACCAACGGCAUCAAAGUUCUGAGACAUUAGGCCAGCAGAAGCAGAGGACCGUUUGGGGAGCAGGAGACCAAAAAAAAAAAAAAAACUACUGACAUGCUUCCACACAUGGCCUCAUUGGAUUCCCCCAGGAGUCCCUCAGAGUGUGUGGGACUUGCAGGCAUUGAUUUGAUGGGCAAGGAAGCUAGGACCCAAGGGGUUAUAAAGACUUGUACAGCUAGUAAAUGAUAGUAAAGCACUCAGGCCUCUCGAGCACUUUCAAAGUUCAGGCUCAAUAUAGAAAUGGAGGACUCUAUCUUGGCAUCUUCUAAGCUGAAAGACUGAGGCAAUAAACAAAAAACAAAAAACCAGGAAGG